rnacentral:rRNA from 1 species
UAGGGAAUCUUCGGCAAUGGGGGGAACCCUGACCGAGCAACGCCGCGUGAGUGAAGAAGGUUUUCGGAUCGUAAAGCUCUGUUGUUAAGGAAGAACGAGUGUGAGAAUGGAAAGUUCAUGCUGUGACGGUACUUAACCAGAAAGGGACGGCUAACUACGUGCCAGCAGCCGCGGUAAUACGUAGGUGGCAAGCGUUGUCCGGAUUUAUUGGGCGUAAAGCGAGCGCAGGCGGUCAAUUAAGUCUGAUGUGAAAGCCCCCGGCUCAACCGGGGAGGGUCAUUGGAAACUGGUUGACUUGAGUGCAGAAGAGGAGAGUGGAAUUCCAUGUGUAACGGUGAAAUGCGUAGAUAUAUGGAGGAACACCAGUGGCGAAGGCGACUCUCUGGUCUGUAACUGACGCUGAGGUUCGAAAGCGUGGGUAGCAAACAGG